GAUGAAGAACGUAGCGAAAUGCGAUACGUAAUGUGAAUUGCAGAAUUCAGUGAAUCAUCGAAUCUUUGAACGCAUAUUGCGCUCUCUGGUAUUCCGGAGAGCAUGCUUGUUUGAGUAUCAGUAAACACCUCAACUCCCUUUUCUUUUUUGAAAUUGGGGCUGGACUUGAGUGAUCCCAACGCUUUCUUCCAAGAAAGUGGCGGGUUGCUUGAAAUGCAGGUGCAGCUGAACUUUUCUCUGAGCUAUAAGCAUAUCUAUUUAGUCUGCCUAAAAAACAGAUUAUUACCUUUGCUGCAGCUAACAUAAAGGAGACUAGUUCUUGUGCUGACUGAUGCAGGAUUCACAGAGACAGCUUCGGCUGACUUUGUAAACUCGAUCUCAAAUCAAGUAAGACUACCCGCUGAACUUAAGCAUAUCAAUAAGCGGAGGA
rnacentral:misc_RNA from 1 species